UAAUGAUUUAAAUCAUAUUUAAUUAUAUCCUAAAAAGAUUGCAAAAACAGGUAAAAAGUCAUAUGCAAAAGUAUAUCAUAAAAUUACAGGAAUUCACAUUUAUAAGAUAUAUAAAAGUUGUACCUAAUUGAUUCUACCAGGGACGGCUCAGUAAUGAAUUCAAAGAUGAUGGAGGGGUCAAUUUGGGUAAAAAAUCUCAAUUGUUUCUUGCUUGAGCGAAAGCUUCUCGGACAAAGAAUCUGGCAGGGUCAUCUGCUUUUUAUUUUCUGAAUUUCACCGCAAAUUGUGGGUGAUUUUUGUUGUUUUGAUCUCGAUGCUUCUUGCAUUUCUCUGCAAUUCUUUCCCUCCCAAGACCUUGAUCGAUCGCCGAGUCCUGGUCCUUCUCGACGAUUUCGCCAUCAAGUUGUCUCACUCCCUUUGCUCCAAUUCCCUCAAAUCUCGUGGCUUUGACCUUGAAUUCAAACUCGUCGAUGAUGCCAAGAUUGCCUGCAACGCUACGGCCAAUAUCUCCACGAUGCCUUGAUUCUCUUCUACCUUUCUGUUGAACGUUAAGAUUUAAUCAUCGAGAUGGAUGCUAAUGCUUCUGAUUUGAUUUGAGAAGUUGCCACUGAAUGUGGAGUUGAUUUUGAUGAGGUAAGAUUAUGUAUAUAUUCUCUAAUUGUUAUUGCUUCAGAAGCAUGUUACUAACACCCCCGUGUUCAUGCAUGUUGUGCUGUUGCCUCCUAUGCACAAGAAUAUGCAUAUCUGUUAGCUUAUGCCUUCAUGAUGAACCAGAACAGCAAUCUCCAAACUUUUCCAGGAUUUCUGGUAAGUCUGUUUUACCCGAGGAAGGCCCUCAAACAUCAAAACAAGACUAAAAUGGACUGCAAAUCUUCAUGAGAAGUUUGUAAAUUGCGUCAAUCUCCAUAGUGGCACAGAGAGAUUCUUCCUAUAAUUGAAUAAAAAAAAAAGAAUUUUUUUUCAUAUGCACCAAAGAGAAUGAAAUUCCUUAUUAAUUCAUUAAAUUCUAUGAAUCAUAGAGGCAACACACAGGAAAAUACUGAAGCUGAUGAAAUCAAAUGGGCUGACAGUUCUCCAUGUCAAAAGUCUUUUGCAGGCAUACAAUGGAUAUUUGAAAUCAAUUAUCAGUAAAAAAAAAAACGUGUUUUCUUUUUAUUCUUUUCUCUUCAUCAUUUUCUCAGUAACCAAAGAGGAUGUUUCUAAAUGUUACUGUUGGUUAAGAAGUAAAAUUGAGAGGAAACUGUUUCAAAAGAAAAAUUGAUUCAUUUUUAUAUGUUUCAUUUGGAAGCAUGUAAUUUGAUUAAUAUCAAAUUUUCUUUUGGCAUUAAUGAUUUGGGUGAUGAUGUUGAUUGCAUAAUGUACAAAUUUUCAUUUAAAUUGGUGAUUGAAACAAUGCUAAACCCAAGUUUAAACUGGUAAUAAU